UGGAACGGGACGCCAUAGAGGGUGAGAGCCCCGUCUGGUUGGACACCGAGCCUCUGUAAAGCUCCUUCGACGAGUCGAGUAGUUUGGGAAUGCUGCUCUAAAUGGGAGGUAUAUGUCUUCUAAAGCUAAAUAUUGGCCAGAGACCGAUAGCGCACAAGUAGAGUGAUCGAAAGAUGAAAAGCACUUUGAAAAGAGGGUUAAAAAGUACGUGAAAUUGUUGAAAGGGAAGCGCUCAUGACCAGACUUGGGCUUGGCGAAUCAUCCAGCGUUCUCGCUGGUGCACUUCGCCUCGUUCAGGCCAGCAUCAGUUUGUCCCGGGGGAUAAAAGCUUCGGGAACGUGGCUGCUUCGGCAGUGUUAUAGCCCGCUGCAUAAUACCCUGGGGUGGACUGAGGUUCGCGCUCCGCAAGGAUGCUGGCGUAAUGGUCAUCAGCGACCCGUCUUGAAACACGGACCAAGGAGUCGUCUUCGUAUGCGAGUGUUCGGGUGUCAAACCCCUACGCGUAAUGAAAGUGAACGCAGGUGAGAGCUUCGGCGCAUCAUCGACCGAUCCUGAUGUUCUCGGAUGGAUUUGAGUAAGAGCAUACGGGGCCGGACCCGAAAGAAGGUGAACUAUGCCUGUAUAGGGUGAAGCCAGAGGAAACUCUGGUGGAGGCUCGCAGCGGUUCCCACGUGCAAAUCCAUCUCAAAUAGGCCACGGAGAAUU
rnacentral:rRNA from 1 species